rnacentral:rRNA from 1 species
AUUGAACGCUGGCGGCAUGCCUUACACAUGCAAGUCGAACGGUAACGGGCCUUCGGUUUCCGACGAGUGGCGAGCGGGUGGGUAAUACAUCGGAACGUGCCCGAUCGUGGGGGAUAACGUGGCGAAAGCUUUGCUAAUACCGCAUACGAUCUACGGAUGAAAGGCGGGGACCGGGAGGGCUUGUGUGGGCGGAUGGGGCGAUGGCAGAGUAGGUAGAUGGUGGGAUAGAAGCUUACCAAGCCGACGAUCUGUAGCUGUCGUGAGAGGGUGAGCGGGCCCAUGGGGACUGAGCCAGGGCCCAGAGUACUACGGAAGGAAGCAGUGGGGAAUUUUGGACAAUGGGCGCAAGCCUGAUCCAGCCAUGCCGCGUGCAGGAUGACGGCCUUCGGGCUGUAAACUGCUUUUGUACGGAACGAAAAGCCUUCUUUUAAUACAGGAGGGUCAUGACGGUACCGGAAGAAUAAGCACCGGCUAACUACGUG